AGCUCAAAUUUAAAAUCUGGUGGCCCUUCCGCCAUCCGAGUUGUAAUUUGCAGAGGGCGCUUUGGUGUCGGCAGCGGUCCAAGUUCCUUGGAACAGGACGUCACAGAGGGUGAGAAUCCCGUACGUGGUCGCUGACCUACACCGUGUAAAGCCCCUUCGAC
rnacentral:rRNA from 1 species